AUUGAACGCUGGCGGCAUGCUUUACACAUGCAAGUCGAACGGUAACAGGCCGCAAGGUGCUGACGAGUGGCGAACGGGUGAGUAAUGCAUCGGAACGUGCCCAGUCCGUGGGGGAUAACGCAGCGAAAGCUGUGCUAAUACCGCAUACGAUCUAUGGAUGAAAGCGGGGGACCGAAAGGCCUCGCGCGAUUGGAGCGGCCGAUGUCGGAUUAGGUAGUUGGUGGGUAAAGGCUCACCAAGCCAACGAUCUGUAGCUGGUCUGAGAGGACGACCAGCCACACUGGAACUGAGACACGGUCCAGACUCCUACGGGAGGCAGCAGUGGGGAAUUUUCCGCAAUGGGCGAAAGCCUGACGGAGCAAUACCGCGUGAGGGAAGAAUGCCUAUGGGUUGUAAACCUCUUUUUC
rnacentral:rRNA from 1 species